GCUCAGUAACACGUGGAUAACCUACCCUUAGGACUGGGAUAACCCUGGGAAACUGGGGCUAAUACCGGAUAGAUGAUUUUUCCUGUAAUGGUUUUUUGUUUAAAUGUUUUUUCGCCUAAGGAUGGGUCUGCGGCAGAUUAGGUAGUUGGUUAGGUAAUGGCUUACCAAGCCUAUGAUCCGUACGGGUUGUGAGAGCAAGAGCCCGGAGAUGGAACCUGAGACAAGGUUCCAGGCCCUACGGGGCGCAGCAGACGCGAAACCUCCGCAAUGUGAGAAAUCGCGACGGGGGGAUCCCAAGUGCCAUUCUUAACGGGAUGGCUUUUCUUAAGUGUAAAAAGCUUUUGGAAUAAGAGCUGGGCAAGACCGGUGCCAGCCGCCGCGGUAACACCGGCAGCUCUAGUGGUAGCUGUUUUUAUUGGGCCUAAAGCGUUCGUAGCCGGUUUAAUAAGUCACUGGUGAAAUCCUGUAGCUUAACUGUGGGAAUUGCUGGUGAUACUGUUGAACUUGAGGUCGGGAGAGGUUAGCGGUACUCCCAGGGUAGAGGUGAAAUUCUGUAAUCCUGGGAGGACCACCUGUGGCGAAGGCGGCUAACUGGAACGAACCUGACGGUGAGGGACGAAAGCUAGGGGCGCGAACCGGAUUAGAUACCCGGGUAGUCCUAGCCGUAAACGAUGCGGACUUGGUGUUGGGGUGGCUUUGAGCCGUUCCGGUGCCGAAGGGAAGCUGUUAAGUCCGCCGCCUGGGAAGUACGCUCGCAAGACUGAAACUUAAAGGAAUUGGC
rnacentral:rRNA from 1 species